UACGUAGGGGCCGAGCGUUGUCCGGAGUUAUUGGGCGUAAAGCGCGCGCAGGCGGCUUCGCGCGCCGACGUGAAAGCCCCCGGCUUAACCGGGGAGGGUCGUCGGGGACGGGUGGAGCUUGAGGGCGGGAGAGGUCGGUGGAAUUCCCGGUGGUAGUGGUGAAAUGCGUAGAGAUCCGGAGGAACCCCGAGGCGAAGGCGGCGCCCUGGCUCGCAACUGACGCUCAGACACGAC
rnacentral:rRNA from 1 species